GAUUUAGCGGGUUCUGAUUGGUCAGUAUUGGCGCACUUUAUGAUUCCGAGCGAAGGUUAAAAUGGACAAGAAGGUGCUGUUGUAAAAUGGAGAAUUGAGAAGCAUUAAUAGCCUCUACAACAAGGAGAUAAUGCAGGAACGAAGAACUCAUGUCAAGCAUUGACAGCAUACAAAGGCAAUGUUUCCGGUGAUUAGUUGCAUCCUCUGUUCGAUGAUUCGGGUGAAUGUUUUGACCAGCUGGACGAUGUGAACGCAAGAUAAAUAGAACAGACAUAAAGUACAGCCCAGUGAAAGGAACAAGUUCAUCGCAACAAGAAGAAUUUUAAUGCUACCACUGUCCAAAACUACUAAGUCUGCUGUAGCCAUGAUGUGAUCAUAUGAGUGCUUCACCGGUCUGGACAAUGCUUGAAAGUCCCCCAAAAAGGCCUAUUUCCAUAAACUACGACUCGGGUUACAUCAACAACAGCCAAGGACACUCCUUAUUGAUUUGAAUAGACACAUCUCUACGACCCGACUAAACCUCUGCAGAACAAGACUUUUUAACUGUAAAAUAUUCUCAUUUCAAAAAAUCUAUUAACUAUAAAACUACUUUUUUUAUAUGAUCAAAUACCAGUAUAUUACAAUGUCUGUCUGUAAGCUAGAAUCUUAGAAAAUCGCAUGGUUUUGACUUAUUAAAUGAUUGAUUAGACCUUGCAGAUAUUAACUUUCAUUUUCUUAAAUAAUUUGUUAUAUUUGCAAAUAUUGCAUAAAAUAUUAGACUCCAUGUAACAUAUAUCCUCACACCUCCAAGUUGAUAAGUGUUAACUACUUUUUUUCCAUUUUCCUUGUUUAAACAUUUAUUGAUAACUUAGUUUUUAUUUGCAGCAAUAUAUGAAAAAUUAAGAAACCAAUCUUAAAUGUAAAAACACUGCAUUAGGAG